UUACAUCACCUUUAAGCAGGCAUGGUGACAAACUCAUAGAGGAGAUUAUGUUUUGACCCAUCAUCAACAGCAUGAUGAGUCUCAAAAGAACUUAGCUAAGUGAAAAAGCCGAGUGUGAGAAAUUAUAUACUACAUCACAUGAACUUCUAGAAAAUCCUGAAAGCAGAUCACUGGUUGCCUAGUGCUGAUGGGGGGAAUGAGGGGAUUGACUACAAGGGGGCAGGAGGGAACUUUUUAGGAUGAAGGAAAUGUUCUAUGACUUGAUUGCAGUGGUGGUUACAGGGUAUAUGUAUUUGUUAAAACUCAUCAAAUUAUCUUUAAAUGGGUGUGUUGUAUAUAAAUUAUAUGUUUAAAAGUUAAUUUAAAAAAUAGCUAAAGUUAUUUGACAACUCCUCUCAUCAAGAGAUGGGGUCUCUGUUUCCUCUUCUUGAAUCUGGUGGUCUUUAUGACUGCUUCAACCAAGAGAAUAUGGCAGAAAUGACUGUACGUCACUUCCAAGGCUAGGUCAUAAAAACUCAUGCAGCUUCUUCCAGGUUCUUUUGGGAUACUUGCUCUGAGGGAGGCCAGCUGCCACGUAAAAAGUCUACUUUGAGACGACCAUGCUAGAGAGAGCACGUGUAGGCUCUGUGGUUAACCAACUGAGUCCUGCCUUCCAGCCCACAAAGUGCCAGGCCUAGCCUCUCCCUUAGGUCUAGUUUCUGGUCCAAGAAACAUGUCUCAGGAUCUGCCUUUUGCCAGAUUGCAGCGACUGGCAAAAAGAAUGACCUCAUCUUCCUGGCUCAAGUUAUCAGCUUGCCUAAUCUCUGGAGCCUUCUAUGACUCAGAGAUUCAUUCCUUUGCUUAAGACCUUAAGUGGCUUCCCACAGAGCCCUCAGGAAAGAAUUACUGACACAACUGGGCUGCACCUGAAGGCACUGAUUCCCCAGCAAUCACGGCCUGCACCACGCAAGGGCUGAGCUCCUGUUCCCCUGAGCCAGAAAAGUUCUCACUCAGCCUGAGAGUCCCUGGUGGGAAGAAGCCUCUGGCUUGCCUGGUGAGCGCUAAGGGAUAUGGGCAGGGCAAUAGUGUCUACCAUAGCUCCCAGAAAGCAUUUUAUCUCUGCUUUGUGGUUCUCUUUACCCUGCAGUGACCCAUCAGCUAAUCUGUUAGUUCUAUAAGGGUGCAGAUGAUACCUCUCUGCUUCACCAACAUACCACCAGGGCUAAGCACAGAGCCUGAUAUGUAAUAGGUGCUCAAGAGAUAUUUAGUGAAUGUGUGGAUAAAUGAAAUAUGGUGAUCCUUUCAGAAAGUAACCCAGUCACUGCAUGCUUUGUAUUUGACAGAGAAAUUACACAUGCAGCAAAAAAACCUCUAAGUUAUUGUUAUAUCUGAAUCCCUAUAUUCACAUAAAUCACUGAAAUUUCUUAACAAUGCCAAUUAACGGCCUUACUAGGCUUUCUAAAUAAAGCUUAGGAUGUUCAUUUUUAUGCCUUUGCAGCAAAUACAGUCCCGAUAUCUUUUUUCUAGACCCAGGUCCGCUCCACACGUUGUGCUGGGUCCAGGGAAGAUGCAAACGCUCCACACGUUUUGCUGGGGCCGGGCAGCAGCUUGGCUCAGCCCGGGGAGCUGGCUCCCAGCUGCUCACCAGCGUGAGUGCAAACAGGUGGAGCAUACACAGGUGGCCUUAUAGAGCUUGGACUUAAUCCUGUGAGCACUGUAGAGCCGCGGAAUGUUUCCCAGCAUGCCAAAAGCAAGACUUUAGAAAAAUGAAUGGAACAGUGAUAUUUAGGCAGGGAUGGAAUGGGAAGAGACUGGAGGCUGGGGAACAAAAAGAGAGGAAAGAAGCCUGAGACAGCGUGGCUGACAGAAACUUUUGAGCUGUGUGAAACUUUCCACUGUGGGUCACUAGGCUGAUUGGGGACAGAGAAAUCACUGUGGUGAAUGAAUCAAAGUAUACCCCUUCCUGUUAUGUUCUCUUUGAAGUUAUUUCCUAAAGCGCCACGGGGUGUUUGUAAGAAGAGCAAUAGGCACUCAUAAAAGUUCCCUGUAAACAAUCAAGAAUGCAAGUUCCCAUAGCUGUGUAGGUUUAAAAAGGAGGCAAAAUGGCAUUGAUUUUGGUGUGU